rnacentral:rRNA from 1 species
GACGUAGGGCGCGAGCGUUGUCCGGAUUUAUUGGGCGUAAAGAGCUCGUAGGCGGCUUGUCGCGUCGUCCGUGAAAACUUGGGGCUCAACCCCAAGCUUGCGGUCGAUACGGGCAGGCUAGAGUUCGGUAGGGGAGACUGGAAUUCCUGGUGUAGCGGUGAAAUGCGCAGAUAUCAGGAGGAACACCGGUGGCGAAGGCGGGUCUCUGGGCCGAUAUUGACGCUGAGGAGCGAAAGCGUGGGGAGCGAACAGG